UACGUAGGGUGCAAGCGUUGUCCGGAAUUAUUGGGCGUAAAGAGCUCGUAGGCGGUUUGUCGCGUCUGCUGUGAAAACCCCGAGGCUCAACCUCGGGCCUGCAGUGGGUACGGGCAGACUAGAGUGCGGUAGGGGAGAUUGGAAUUCCUGGUGUAGCAGUGAAAUGCGUAGAUAUCAGGAGGAAUACCGAUGGCGAAGGCAGGUCUCUGGGCUGACACUGACGCUCAUGCACGAAAGCGUGGGGAGCAAACAGG
rnacentral:rRNA from 1 species